rfam:Citrus sinensis cultivar Ridge Pineapple sweet orange scaffold10158_contig_1, whole genome shotgun sequence.
GGCAAAGAUGAAGAGUGCUUUAUUAUUUCUGACACCUCUUGUAUGAGAAGGGCUCCACGUAUCUCUUCUUUGAGCACAGUUAGCAACUCUCUGAGCC